rnacentral:lncRNA from 1 species
ACCACACGGGUGAGGAUGACUGAGGACGACCACGCGGGUGAGGACGACCACGCGGGUGAGGAUGACUGAGGACCGACCACGCGGGUGAGGACGACCACACGGGUGAGGACGACCACGCGGGUGAGGACGACCACAUGGGUGAGGACGACCACGCGGGUGAGGACGACCACGCGGGUGAGGAUGACUGAGGACAACCACGCGGGUGAGGAUGACUGAGGACCACGCGGGUGAGGACGACCAGACGGGGUGAGGAUGACUGAGGACGACCACGGGUGAGGAUGACUGAGGACGACCACGGGUGAGGAUGACUGAGGACGACCACGCGGGUGAGGACGACCACGCGGGUGAGGACGACCACGGGUGAGGAUGACUGAGGACGCCACCACGGGUGAGGAUGACUGAGGACGACCACGCGGGUGAGGACGACCACGCGGGUGAGGACGACCACACGGGUGAGGAUGACUGAGGACGACCACGCGGGUGAGGACGACCACGCGGGUGAGGACGACCACGCGGGUGAGGAUGACUGAGGACCACGCGGGUGAGGACGACCACGCGGGUGAGGACGACCACGCGGGUGAGGACGACCACGCGGGUGAGGACGACCACGCGGACCACAACACGUGUGUGUAAAGAAUUUUGACCGGGGAAGUUUUCUGUUCGUGAAACAUUUAAGAAGUGAAACGUUCGAGGUCCUCAGAGGAUGAAUCCUCUGACUCGCCAGCUGACGCCGUCCUCACGUUGACUUCACAUUGAGCGAACGAUCUGAGCAGCAUCUCCUUUUCGUUCGGACACGUUCGAGUUCCCCUCGGGAUGAAUUCAUUUUCAUCAGCUGCUCCUCGCUUUCUGAUCCUCCAGUAAGUUGUAAUUAUCAGUCUUUUGUCACUUUGUCUGUUUAUGGUUCUAUAUUCCAUCACGAUGACAAGUUCAUGCCCAAAAGUAUUUGUAUUUCCGCUUUAAAAUAG